UAAUACAGAGGGAGUAAGCGUUGUUCGGAUUUACUGGGCGUAAAGCGCGCGCAGGCGGGCGAAUAAGUCGGACGUGAAAAUUGUGGGCUCAACCUACAACCUGCGUCCGAAACUGUUUGUCUUGAGUACAGGAGAGGUGAGUGGAAUCUAUGGUGUAGCGGUGAAAUGCGUAGAUAUCAUAGAGAACACCGGUGGCGAAGGCGGCUCACUGGCCUGAUACUGACGCUGAGGCGCGAAAGCUAGGGGAGCGAACAGGAUUAGAUACCCUGGUAGUCCUAGCCGUAAACGAUGGGCACUAGGUGUUGGAGGUGUUGACCCCUUCAGUGCCGUAGCUAACGCAUUAAGUGCCCCGCCUGGGGAGUACGGUCGCAAGGCUG
rnacentral:rRNA from 1 species